rnacentral:miRNA from 1 species
UAAUUUUAGACUGAUAUUUUGCCU